rnacentral:RNase_P_RNA from 1 species
GCAAGGGGAGGAAAGUCCGGGCUCCACAGGGCAGAGUGCCAGGUAACGCCUGGGAGAUGAAAAUCUACGGAAAGUGCCACAGAAAAUAUACCGCCGAUUAGGGUAACCUUGUUGGUAAGGGUGAAAUGGUGCGGUAAGAGCGCACCGCACGAUUGGUAACAGUCGUGGCAGGGAAAACCCCACUUGGAGCAAGACCAAAUAGGGAUCCAUAUGGCUUAGGCCAUAACGCAUGGCCCAUGCGGGAUUCGGGUAGGUCGCUUGAGGCAAACGGUGACGUUUGUCCCAGAUGAAUGAUUGUCCACG